GAAUGAUAGUUUGGUCUUUUUACAUUCAUGUCUUUGUCUCUUCUGUAUCCUUUCCUCCAGUUAAACACUGUAUACUCAUAGUUACACCCAAGUGUAACAUCUGUGUGUAUGAACACAACUACACCUGCACCAUGUCAGACAAAAAAAGUACAACAAAGUUUAACCCUUUGGUGUCUGUACUAAAACUCUGGCUUUGCUGCAGCUGUUUUCUUGCUGAUUAACAUUUAUUUGUCUCUCCAAACCCCCAGAUUCCUUUGACAAAUCCAGUAAUCCUACAGAACUCAGUAACUGCCAGUUCACAGCAUCAACAGUCGAGUUUGGAGUUAAUUUGAUUAGAAACUAACAUUAAAAUGCACAAUAACCGUUUUUUUAAAGCAGCUAGGUGGUUUUGAUGAAAGUUUCAGGGCUUCAGCUCUUCAGCCAGUGGAAGUAGAAGUGGUAGAAAUAUUCUCUACAGUUUCUACAGAUGAACAGUGAAGACAAACGCCUAAGACUGCUGGUGAAAUGCUGCCCUCUGGUGGAAUGAGUGAAUCUUAAACUACUGCUGUUACUUUGGGCUGAUCCAUUUUUCGGGUUGCCACAGUCCCUUCAUGUCCUCCUUCACCACAUCCAUAAACCUCCUCUUUGCCUCCUGUCGAUAGAGAACAUCUUCAUCAUCCUUCAUAUUUACUAUCCCUCCUCUGCACAUGUCCAGCCAUCUCACUCAACCUCUCACUUUGACCCCAACACCGACGCCAAAUUAGCUUUGUGUUGUUACAUAGAUUGACCAAUUGAAUAGAUCUUUAUUAUCACAGUCACAGGAAUAAUGAAAAUUCAUUUAGCAGCAAAAACAAUUAGUGCAA